UGGAAUUGCAGCACAGAUAUCGACGAGUGUGUAACGAAGCCAUGUGUCAACGGUACCUGUGUCGACCACGUCAACAACUACACCUGUGACUGUGACCCUGGGUAUACAGACUGGAACUGCAGCACAGAUAUUGACGACUGUGCGACAAACCCAUGUGUCAACGGUACCUGUGUGGACCACGUCAACAACUACACCUGUACCUGUGACC